GGAAGACAGAGGAAGAGGAGGUGGAAGGAAGAUGGAACAGAACCACGUGGCCUGGAGGAGCCGCUUAUUGGUGUUGGAGAGUUACAACAGUUCCUAGGAACACUUUUAUGGACGUUUUGGCAAUUUUUACUUCUGGUAAAUAUUCUUAUGAACCUAAGUAAGAUGCGUCUGUCUUCCAGAUGUUCAUUUGCACAUCUUCCCCCAGCCUCUAAGAAUCUAGAUGCUCCAAGGAGGGAAACAGCCCUUUUCCUAUACUUCCUUGGCGUGAGGAAGAGUUGUGGCCAAAGCAAAACAAAACAAAUGUCUUCGCAAAUCUUUUCUCCUUCCAUAGCCCAACCCCCGUUCUGUAUCCUUGUGAUUUCAACCGUUUCCUUUGUAGAUUCUGCAAAUGAUGACCCAGCUCCAGUGCAAUAUCACUGUUUAUAUCCUGUCACAAGUGGGGUUGCUUAAUUUGUAAAAACUAAAAAUAAACCUUUGUUCUCAUGCUC